rnacentral:rRNA from 1 species
AACGCUGGCGGCGGCCUAACAAUGCAAGUCGAACGGUAACAGGAUGUGCUUGCACAUCGCUGACGAGUGGCGGACGGGUGAGUAAUGCUUGGGAACUUGCCUUUGCGAGGGGGAUAACAGUUGGAAACGACUGCUAAUACCGCAUAAUGUCUUCGGACCAAACGGGGCUCCGGCUCCGGCGCAAAGAGAGGCCCAAGUGAGAUUAGCUAGUUGGUAAGGUAACGGCUUACCAAGGCGACGACCUCUAGCUGUUCUGAGAGGAAGAUCAGCCACACUGGGACUGAGACACGGCCCAGACUCCUACGGGAGGCAGCAGUGGGGAAUAUUGCACAAUGGGGGAAACCCUGAUGCAGCCAUGCCGCGUGUGUGAAGAAGGCCUUCGGGUUGUAAAGCACUUUCAGUUGUGAGGAAAAGUUAGUAGUUAAUACCUGCUAGCCGUGACGUUNACAACAGAAGAAGCACCGGCUAACUCCGUGCCAGCAGCCGCGGUAAUACGGAGGGUGCGAGCGUUAAUCGGAACUACUGGGCGUAAAGCGCACGCAGGCGGUUUGUUAAGCUAAAUGUGAAAGCCCCGGGCUCAACCUGGGAUGGUCAUUUAGAACUGGCAGACUAAAAGUCUUGGGGAG